ensembl:antisense 2410022M11Rik RIKEN cDNA 2410022M11 gene
CCGUGCAGGCGCUUCCACCUUGCCUGGCCCGUGGGAAGGGUGUCCCACCUCCGCCAUGGCUGCGGCGGGAGGAGACGUCGGCCUCCAUUUUGUGGGAUCUGUUGGGAGAACUUGGGGCCCAUCAGAACCGAACCCGUGGGGACGAGAAACUUGGCCCGGAACGAGUCCGAUCGCGCUCUACCAUAGGCCUUGUCCUCGGCCGCCAAGAGUUUGCGCGCCGAGAUUGCGGCGGGGCCACACGACAGUGGUGACCCCAGACUGCCGCCGGGCAAGAUGGAGCCCCGGGCUCCCUUAGCGGGCUCGCGCCCCUGGGACCUGGGCUGUCUGGCCUUGGCCGUCGGUGCCUGGCCGAGCACGCGCUCUCCGGCCUGCCCGGCGCCUGUCCUCCACGUUUGCCGGGCCUCGGGCCAUCGCGUGCCCUUCGCUUCAUCCUGGCUCCGUGGGCAGUGACCCUCUAAUGGGAGUCCCACCGGACGCAUUCGGAGCGGAGCCGCUGGAGGGCGGCACGAGGGUCUUUUGUUCCUCGUCUAUACCCAUGUCUUUGGCAGAAGACUUGGUGCCGGAUUUCCAGGACUCCCUGUAACCUAAGAAAUGCACCUCGCCCUGGUGUUUGUUAGCGGGAUUACAACUGAUGCUUUUAGGUUGGAUUGAGGUUCUUGUUACAUAAUAUGUGAAAAUAUAUGACUCUUAACUGGACUUGGUGGCGCAUGCUUUUAGUUCCAACACUUGCAGGCAGAGGCAGUUGGAUAUCUGUGAGUUCGAGGCCAGGUUGGUCUACAAAGUGGAUUCCUGGACAGUCAGGGCUACACAGAAAAACCCUGAGUUGAAAAACCAAAAGAGCAAAAAUAUAUAUGAGUCUCUCUUUUAAGACAAUGUCUAGCAUAGUCUGGCCUGGAACUCUGUGAUCUUUCUUCUGCCUUUGCCUCUCUCUUCCUCUGCCUCUGGAGCAUUGGGAUUGUAAGCAUGUCACCACUGCUUUCUUGGUUUAGGCUUAGAUAUGAUUUGAAAACAAAAUCCCACACCUCAUAGCACAGGAAUGGAGUGCCAGUAUUAAAGGCACAGAAGUAGCAGAAUCAGUUCAAAGCUGACCCAGGAUACAUUAACUGCCUCAAAGAGAAAAAACAAAACAAAACCACAAAAACCAGGCAGCUGAGUGGAAGGCUAUUAGAUGGCUCAGAGGUUAUGAGUGCUUCCUGCUCUUAAAGACUACCAGAUUUGUACCUUCGUGGAGCAGUUUCCAACUGCCAGCAACUGCAGUUCCAGGAGAUCCAAGCCCUUUUUUGGACAAGCUCUUCUGGCCUACCUACACACAUAGAUGUACAAAUACAUUCAUGAGCACAUAUACAUAUCUCAGAGUUACAGAAACCGGAGUUUUUUUUUUCAAUAUUUAAAACGCACAUCCCCUUUUUUUCUCUUCUGAAGUAUGAUAAAAGCAUGCUCAUUGGAUGACAAACAUAUAACCCUAAGUCAUGUUUCUUGUCCGUGGGUUGAUUGGUGGGAGAGUUAAGUAAGCUUUUAUAUUACAUAAUGCUUUACUCUCUGGACGUUACCAACAUCACCAGCAUUUUAUUUAAGUCUUCAAUGGCUGAAAAUAAAUGUGUUAAUCAUAGUAACAUUUCCACGACUGCUGAAGAUGAUAACCAUCCCCCUUUCUCUUAAGCAUUUGGAAAUACAAAACUGUAGGUCCACUAAGUUGAUUCACAAGGAUUCUCUAGGUUUGGAGAGACUAAAUGUUUUUAGGCUUGGUAGCUACAGGCCAUAUGUUUUCUGAAGCCCCAUUUCCACAAUUCUCUAAUAUUAGUACUGUUCAAAAUUAAAACUUACCUGUUUCCCUUAGUAAUGACAAGAAUGAACGCUGUCCCUUUAGUGUGCUGCUGUGUUGAGUGUGUCAGUUUGAUGCUGCUAUGCAAGAGUUCCACAUACCAUAAAUUAGAACUACAGUAGUUUAUGUGGCUAGUGCUUUUAGAGGCUAGAAUUUCAGUAGGGAGACACAUCUGGUAAGGGACUCUGGAAGUAUUGCAAGUGCUAGAAAACAAGGGCAGGAACAGAACACUCCAGUAACUCACACUCAUAAAGGAGCCACUCCUGCAAUAGAUACUUAACUCUCAGAAUUUCACCAUAUGUCCACCUAAAAUGGUAGAAUGCUUAAGACCCAGGUGUCUCUCAAUGUGUCAAUUCCCUUUGCAAUCUCAGCAGCCAAUAAGUAAUAUGGAUUUUGGAAGGGACAUUCAAAGUAUAGAGUUUUGAAAUUCUGGAACAAAGUUUACUCAUUAAUAAUUGGUGCUUUCAUAAAUUUAAUGUCAGAAUUGUUCGAGCUGAGUCUGGUGGCUCUCCAUGGCCAACACUCAGUAGGCAGAGGCAGGCAUAUUUCUGUGAGUUUGAGGAUAACCUAGUCUAUGCAGUGAGUCCCAGGCAUACCCGAGCUACAUAGUGAGACCCUGUCUCAUAAAACAAACAAAAAUAACAGAACUUUUUCUAAAGUUGUAACGAUUCUGUGAGAGUAAACUCCAGAGCAGUGUGAUGUAGCGACAUCGGACUGAGCUUUGCAGUAGCAGACCUGUACUCAGCAUCUGUUCAGAGCUGGGGAUGAUGACCUAGUGACUGUAACACCAGCACCUGGGACUGUGAAGCAGGAAGACUGUGAAUUCAAGGCCUGCCUGGCUUCCAUAGAUCCUGUGUCAACAAAACAAAACGUUAAAAAUGUAUAAGUUUUUCAAAAUAAGCCCCAGGCAUAGUGAUACAGCUUGUAACCCAUAUCUUUGAAGACAGAGGCAGGAAGCUGGAAGACUGAGCCCAAGUCUGCAAAAUAAUGAGAUGUCUCAGAAAUAAAAUAUUUUUCCUCAAGAAAAUACUGAAAUGUUACAAAAAUUAAGAGACUAGUUAAGAUAGGGCAUACAUUUUUUUGAAAUUUUUUAUUAGAUAUUCCAGAAGAAGUCAACUGAGGCAAUAUUGAAAAUAAUUACUGAGAUUUUUCUAGAGGGCAUGAAAGAUACAUUUCAGGAUGGAAAAAUAUGUAAAGAAUAGAGUAAUUAAAAGCAAACCCUUUUUGGGACAGCCAGGAUACAUCAAGAGACCCUGUCUCAAGAACAACCUCCCAACAAAUCUUUACAACUAUGUCCAAAUGGCCGACUAUUAGAAUGGUUGGAGAGAUGGCUCAGCAAUUAAGAGCACUGUCUGCUCUUCCAGAGGUCCUGAGUUCAAUACCCAGCAACCACAUGGUGGCCCCCAACCAACUGUAAUGGGAUCUGAUGCUCUCUUCUGGGUGUUUGAAGACAGCUACAGUGUAUUCACAUACAUAC